CCCUUAUCCUUUGCUGAGUGUUCUGUCUGGCUGCCUGUUCAUCACAGGAUGCACAACCACCCCCCUCCCAGCCUCAGCCUGAUACUUCCACCUGCAUGCAUCACAGUAAGCUGAUGUUAGAUGAAUGAUGAGAAAAGUCUUGUGUGGUGAGUCGAUUCAUCAGUCCAGACUAAAAUCCACUGACUUUGCCUCUGUUGUCUCCAGCUCACCCCAACUACUCCACCAGAAUAACUUGACAUUUAAAUAUGUACAAUUUGUCUUCACAUAUUAUUGUAUCACAUUUUUUUUCUUUAGCUACACAAUAAUGUUGAGAUAUUUCUGCUUAAGUUGUGCUUACUCGAAAUUGAUGGAUUAUUAUAAAAUGUUCUGCAAUAACUCUCCUUAAGAUGAAUACUAAAA